GUACUACAAUUACAUCGGGAUCGAAGUCGGGCUCGAAAAGCAAUUUAUUUAAAAACAACACACCGCGCCGAAAUUCAAUUUUUUGGAGAGUUCCACGCAGCCAUGUUGAACUUGAUCAUGAUGUUGUACGGGAGGAAGGGGCGAAAGAGAGUUACUCGAAAAGGAGAAGCAUGAUAAACUUGGGAUGGAAUUUAUGUUUUAACAGAAGAUGAAGACAUUUACGACCCUGUUUAGCGUUGCAGUGUGGACUGUGCCUGAGACGAUUCCCCAUAACGCCGGCUAUGUAGACAGCUUGUGAAAAUGAAAUUGUGCCAGAAAAGUUUGAAGUAGC